rnacentral:rRNA from 1 species
CCUACGGGAGGCAGCAGUGGGGAAUAUUGGACAAUGGGCGAAAGCCUGAUCCAGCAAUGCCGCGUGUGUGAAGAAGGCCUUCGGGUUGUAAAGCACUUUAAGUUGGGAAGAAAAAGCUCUGGCUAAUAUCUAGAGCCUUGACGGUACCAACAGAAUAAGCACCGGCUAACUCUGUGCCAGCAGCCGCGGUAAUACAGAGGGUGCUAGCGUUAAUCGGAUUUACUGGGCGUAAAGCGUGCGUAGGCGGUUUGAUAAGUCGAUUGUGAAAGCCCCGGGCUUAACCUGGGAGUUGCAGUUGAUACUGUCAGACUAGAAAACGGUAGAGGGAGGCGGAACUCCAGGUGUAGCGGUGAAAUGCGUAGAUAUCUGGAAGAACACCGAUGGCGAAGGCAACCUCCUGGGCCUGUUUUGACGCUGAGGCACGAAAGCGUGGGUAGCAAACAGGAUUAGAUACCCUGGUAGUCCACGCCGUAAACGAUGAGAACUUGACGUUGGUUUGCUUAGCAAAUCGGUGUCGUAGCUAACGCGAUAAGUUCUCCGCCUGGGGAGUCGGCCGCAAGGUUGAAACUCAAAGAAUUGACGGCUGNGACGNGCCGACGGACGACGACGAGGGAGGAGG